GACAGAGGGUGCAAACGUUGUUCGGAAUUACUGGGCGUAAAGCGCGUGUAGGCGGCCAUCUAAGUCGGGCGUGAAAUCCCACGGCUCAACCGUGGAAGUGCACUCGAAACUGGAUGGCUAGAGUCCUGGAGAGGAAGGUGGAAUGCUUGGUGUAGAGGUGAAAUUCGUAGAUAUCAAGCGGAACACCGGUGGCGAAGGCGGCCUUCUGGACAGUGACUGACGCUGAGGAGCGAAAGCGUGGGGAGCGAACAAG
rnacentral:rRNA from 1 species